CCUACGGGUGGCUGCAGUGGGGAAUAUUGGGCAAUGGACGCAAGUCUGACCCAGCAACGCCGCGUGAAGGAAGAAGGCUUUCGGGUUGUAAACUUCUUUUAAGGGGGAAGAGCAGAAGACGGUACCCCUUGAAUAAGCCACGGCUAACUACGUGCCAGCAGCCGCGGUAAUACGUAGGUGGCAAGCGUUGUCCGGAUUUACUGGGUGUAAAGGGAGCGUAGGCCGGCUUUUAAGUCAGCUGUGAAAGUCCGCGGCUCAACCGUGGAAUUGCAGUUGAAACUGGAGGCCUUGAGUGCACACAGGGAUGCCGGAAUUCAUGGUGUAGCGGUGAAAUGCUUAGAUAUCAUGAAGAACUCCGAUCGCGAAGGCAAGUGUCCGGGGUGCAACUGACGCUGAGGCUCGAAAGUGCGGGUAUCAAACAGGAUUAGAUACCCGAGUAGUC
rnacentral:rRNA from 1 species